rnacentral:lncRNA from 1 species
GAACAGAACUACCCCUCCUCUCAGGUCCAUGAGAACAGAACUACCCCUCCUCUCAGGUCCAUGAGAAGAACUGAACUACCCCUCCUCUCAGGUCCAUGAGAAGAACAGGAGACAGAAAGAGACAGACUGGGAACAUUACAUGUCCAGGCUUUGACUGACAGAGGACUGGAAGGGACCCGUUGGGACUAACUCGUUAUCAUGCUAUUGAAGGACAACAACAGCCUUGACUGCCACCAAUAAAUAUAACAAUAUUUUUUAUUUAUUUACAAUAAACUUUUGAAAUAAUUAUAUACACAUCCGGCAACAUUGGAGUACCAGAUGAGGACCGGGGAAGAGACAGAACCAGAACCAGAACCAGGAGACAAUAACAGAAGGACGUCGCCGCCCCAAACCCACACCGAGACAAAGAGGCAGCCCAGAAUCCCCACGUCAGGACAUGCCAAGAAGGCUCCUCUCGACCUGGACAGACAAGACAACCAUGUAUUCUGCAACAGCAGUAUUGGAUCAGGACAGACAGACAGACGGACCGGACGGCCCAAGGAUCUGCCCCGACCACCACCCUUCUGAUCAGGACAGACAGACAGACGGACGGCCCAAGGAUCUGAUCAGGACAGACAGACAGACGGACGGCCUAAGGAUCUGAUCAGGACAGACAGACAGACAGACGGCCUAAGGAUCUGAUCAGGACAGACAGACAGACGGCCUAAGGAUCUGAUCAGGACAGACAGACAGAUGGCUGUCCCAACCACCACCCUUCUGGAAACCUGUGCCUUUAACCAACUCCAUCACAUCCAUUUUGCUUUUGUUUUCUGAUUGUUGUCCAAUUUUGGGUUGGAGCUCUGCUACUGGAUGCAUCUCCCGUACUGUCCUGCCCUCUAGUGGACAACUGGAUACAUCUUCCGUACUGUCCUGCCCCCUGGUGGACAACAGGAUACAUCUCCCGUACUGUCCUGCCCCCUGGUGGACAAGAGGAUACAUCUCCCGUACUGUCCUGCCCUCUAGUGGACAACAGGAUACAUCUCCCGUACUGUCCUGCCCCCUAGUGGACAACUGGAUACAUCUCCCGUACUGUCCUGCCCCCUGGUGGACAACAGGAUACAUCUCCCGUACUGUCCUGCCCUCUAGUGGACAACUGGAUACAUCUUCCGUACUGUCCUGCCCCCUGGUGGACAACAGGAUACAUCUCCCGUACUGUCCUGCCCUCUAGUGGACAACAGGAUACAUCUCCCGUACUGUCCUGCCCCCUGGUGGACAACUGGAUACAUCUCCCGUACUGUCCUGCCCCCUGGUGGACAACUGGAUACAUCUCCCGUACUGUCCUGCCCUCUGGUGGACAACUGGAUAUAUCUCCCGCACUGUCCUGCCCCCUGAUGGACAACAGGAUACAUCUCCCGUACUGUCCUGCCCCCUGGUGGACAACUGGAUACAUCUCCCGUACUGUCCUGCCCCCUGGUGGACAACUGGAUACAUCUCCCGUACUGUCCUGCCCCCUGGUGGACAACAGGAUACAUCUCCCGUACUGUCCUGCCCCCUAGUGGACAACUGGAUACAUCUCCCGUACUGUCCUGCCCCCUAGUGGACAACUGGAUACAUCUCCCGUACUGUCCUGCCCCCUAGUGGACAACUGGAUACAUCUCCCGUAC